rnacentral:lncRNA from 1 species
GAGGGGUUUGAUGAACAAAGGGAGCGGGAAAUACGGAUACAGACGGAGUGGACGGAGGCAGGAGACAUGUGCUCCCCGAAGGACACCAGCCCGAUGGAGAUGGUCUGCAGGAAUGGCCGGAUGGCAGGCGUGAACUGUGGAGAGACGCGGCUGCGUCACCCACCGCUCAAGAGAGGGAUGGGGACAGGGCAGGAGCGAGGCACAGGGAUGUGCGGGGAAGGCACAUUCAUUCAGUAAACGUUUCAUGAGCUCCUACUGUGUGCUGGGCAUAGCUCUCGCCUGGUUCACGGACCUGAUGUUCUCAAAGGGAAAACAAAUGAUCAGCAGAUAAGCAAAGCCACGCGCAGUAUCAUGACAAGGAAUGAC